rnacentral:lncRNA from 1 species
AUGCACAAACUGAUUCACGUGCUAGAGGAAGAGCGACGCCUACGAUUGGACAGUGAGAAGCGGCUUCGGGAGGUGACGGACGAGUCGGAGCUGGGCCGAGUGCAGAUGGUUUCGCUACAGCAGCACUUCUCCAGGAUGGAAGAGACAGUGCGGACGCUGCUGCAGAACCAGGGGGUGCUGGAGCAAACAGCCGUGGACACUGUGGACAUCAUGAAGGCCUACAAGGUAACACAGCACUGCUUAGCACUCCUCCAACAUGGGCUCUCCUUCCUGCUCUUUAUAAACCAAACCGUAGAGGCUUGUGUAGGAGAAAUACUUUGUUUGUUAUCACUAAGUGUGUUUCAUUUUGCUGUACAGGAGGAAAACUCAGUAUUGGCCAAGGAGAAUGAGAGCCAGAGGGAGCAGUAUGAGCACUGUCUGGAUGAGGUUGCCAAUCAAGUUGUGCAGGCACUACUCACCCAAAAGGAUCUAAGGGAGGAGUGUCUGAAGUUGCGGACCAGAGUGUUUGACCUGGAGCAACAAAACCGGACCAUGAGUGUCCUCUUCCAGCAGCGAGUCCGACCCGCAUCAGACCUCUUGCAAGGAGAGAAUGAGGAGGACCCCACCCCUGAGACUUCAUGUCAGGACCACAUGAUAGACUCCAGCAGCCAGAUGAGAACCCUGGACAGCGGGAUUGGCACCUUCCCCCUCCCUGACUCCGUCACCCGGAUCAACGGGCGCCACAUUCCCAGAUCUGAGUCCAGCCCCGACCGGAUGAUGGCGAGCGUUCACAGUCCCACUGAUCCUGACCAGGACCUCGUCUCGGCCUCUGCUGCUCAUUCCCCAUCCCAUGUGAAAGUGCCUUCCCUGUCUGAGACCCACCCGCAUGCACCACCCACCAGUGCCCUGGGCCACUCCCUGUCUGACCCUUCAGUUACUGGAAGAGGUUGUGGACAGGAAGCCUUGAGCUGCCUCCCCAGACCAUCCACCUCAGGUAAGAACACGCAAACUCACUAG